rnacentral:lncRNA from 1 species
AGUGCGACCCGGAACAAGGCGGACACGGCAGGAGCACCUCAUUCUUCCUCCUAGUCUUCUCCUGGAGCAGGGAGAGCCUGCCCGUGGGAUCAGCUCCCACGUUACUGAAUGGAGUUGCUCAUUUCGGCAGCGAAUGCUGAGGUGACAAAUGGCUUCUGUACAUUUGCGAAAAGGAGGGGAGGCAGGAAUGGUUUGACCUCCAGCAGAUACCUUGGGUGAGGAGGACAAGUGCCCUACCAAGAGAUGACAGAUUGUAGAACUAAAAGAAUCCUGGGUCUCUAAUGUUUUGUGGAGCUAUUGUGCCUUCCUUGGACUUCCAACUGCCCAACUUUUAUGAAGCACUUCUCCUUCCUGUCACCAUGUGAAGAAGGACGUGUUUGCUUCCCCUUCUGCUAUGAUUGUAAGCUUCCUGAGGCCUCCCCAGCCCUGCAGAACUAAAUCCAAAGAAGCCACUAUGCUGAAAAUACUUUGAGUGGGUUAGAGUUUCGCUCAAGGAAGUGCUGUAGUAGAAAAUGGCCAUUUCUCUGUGCUGUGUUCAGAGUAAGAGACAUGGGUGAAAGAGUUAUCCGGAAUGGAAUGCUGAGGAGACCCUAAAGGGAAUUUCCGGGUGGAUGGCCAGCACUGUCACUCGAUGAGUGGAGGAUUGGAGGUUGCUGUGAGGUUCCCUUAAGGGGUGAUGUUUGAUCUGAGAGCUGGUAAAUGAACAGGAGUUAAUUUAAGGACAAACUUGCCAAAUACUGCAAGAAAAGAUGUUGCUGAUCACGGAUAGGAAAUACUCCAAGUCCCAGGAGAUAGUCUGUUCUUAGGAGACUUCCACACCAAGUCUGCUGAC